rnacentral:rRNA from 1 species
GUGAGGAAUAUUGGUCAAUGGGCGCAAGCCUGAACCAGCCAUGCCGCGUGCAGGAAUGAGGCCCUAUGGGUCGUAAACUGCUUUUGCUGCGGAGCAAUAAGUGCCACGUGUGACACGAUGAGAGUACGCAGCGAAUAAGCAUCGGCUAACUCCGUGCCAGCAGCCGCGGUAAUACGGAGGAUGCGAGCGUUAUCCGGAUUUAUUGGGUUUAAAGGGUGCGUAGGCUGUUCGUCAAGUCAGUGGUGAAAUGCCGGGGCUCAACCCCGGAGCUGCCAUUGAUACUGUCGGGCUUGAAUCCUGCUGCCGUGGGAGGAAUGAGUAGUGUAGCGGUGAAAUGCAUAGAUAUUACUCAGAACACCGAUUGCGAAGGCAUCUCACGAAACAGGCAUUGACGCUGAGGCACGAAAGCGUGGGGAUCAAACAGGAUUAGAAACCCUAGUAGUCC